UUAUGCAAAGAUAAAUUUAUAUAUUGGGAACACUUCGCAAAAUGAGAAGCGAUAAUAUAAGAAGAAGACGAUUUAUCCGUAUUUACCUUGAAAUACAUCGUUAUGCAAAGAUAAAUUGAUAUUUUGGGAACACUUCGCAGAAUGAGAAGCGAAACUAUAUGAAGAAGACGACUUAUCCGUAUUUAUCUUGAAAUAUAUUGUUAUGCAACGAUAAAAUUAGACUUUGGGAACAUGUCGAAAAUGUGAAGCGAAACUAGAUGAAGAAGACGAUUUAUCCGUAUUUACCUUGAAAUACAUUGCUAGGCAAAGAUGAAUGCAAAGAGAACACGUCGAUAAAUGAGAAGCGAAACUGGAUGAAGGAGAAGAUUUAUCCGUAUUUACCUUGAAAUACAUUGCUAGGCAAAGAUGAAUGCAAAGAGAACACGUCGCAAAAUGAGAACCGAAUCUAGAUGAAGAAUAAUAUUUAUCCGUAUUUAUCUUGAAAUACAUCGUUAUGCAAAGAUAAAUUGAUAUUUUGGGAACACUUCGCAGAAUGAGAAGCGAAACUAUAUGAAGAAGACGACUUAUCCGUAUUUAUCUUGAAAUAUAUCGUUAUGCAAAGAUAAAUUUAUAUAUUGGGAACACUUCGCAAAAUGAGAAGCGAUAAUAUAAGAAGAAGACGAUUUAUCCGUAUUUACCUUGAAAUACAUCGUUAUGCAAAGAUAAAUUGAUAUUUUGGGAACACUUCGCAGAAUGAGAAGCGAAACUAUAUGAAGAAGACGACUUAUCCGUAUUUAUCUUGAAAUAUAUUGUUAUGCAACGAUAAAAUUAGACUUUGGGAACAUGUCGAAAAUGUGAAGCGAAACUAGAUGAAGAAGACGAUUUAUCCGUAUUUACCUUGAAAUACAUUGCUAGGCAAAGAUGAAUGCAAAGAGAACACGUCGAUAAAUGAGAAGCGAAACUGGAUGAAGGAGAAGAUUUAUCCGUAUUUACCUUGAAAUACAUUGCUAGGCAAAGAUGAAUGCAAAGAGAACACGUCGCAAAAUGAGAACCGAAUCUAGAUGAAGAAUAAUAUUUAUCCGUAUUUAUCUUGAAAUAUAUCGUUAUGCAAAGAUAAAUUUAUAUAUUGGGAACACUUCGCAAAAUGAGAAGCGAUAAUAUAAGAAGAAGACGAUUUAUCCGUAUUUACCUUGAAAUACAUCGUUAUGCAAAGAUAAAUUGAUAUUUUGGGAACACUUCGCAGAAUGAGAAGCGAAACUAUAUGAAGAAGACGACUUAUCCGUAUUUAUCUUGAAAUAUAUUGUUAUGCAACGAUACAAUUAUACUUUGGGAACAUGUAGAAAAUGUGAAGCGAAACAAGAUGAAGAAGACGAUUUAUCCGUUUUUAUCUUGAAAUACAUUGCUAGGCAAAGAUGAAUGCAAAGAGAACACGUCGAAAAAUGAGAAGAGAAACUAGAUGAAGGAGAAGAUUUAUCCGUAUUUACCU